AAUUGUGGUGGUUCUGAAAUACGUCCACAAAUUCUUUGCCUUUACCACUCCUCUGUUCGAUAAGUGGAUUGCAUGCUUGGUCAGAGAGAAUGAACUUCCCUGAUAGAGGAGGUCCCUUCUUUGGUCAAAGGUGUAUGAGUAGCUGCACUACCCUGCUAGAAUCUCCAGACAAGCUCUCAAGAGGCAGAGCCUAACUAGUGACUCAAUUCUGAUGAAUUGAGAGAAAGUGACAGUCAUGAAAGGCAGUGCAGCCCCUCCUGGAUCUCUCUUAUAU
rnacentral:snRNA from 1 species